rnacentral:rRNA from 1 species
CGCCACGGGUGUACAGCUGGUUUAUUCGAGCACGCGAAGAACCUUACCAGGUCUUGACAUCCUCUGACAACCCUAGAGAUAGAGGCUUUCCCUUCGGGGACAGAGUGACAGGUGGUGCAUGGUUGUCGUCAGCUCGUGUCGUGAGAUGUUGGGUUAAGUCCCGCAACGAGCGCAACCCUUGAUCUUAGUUGCCAGCAUUUAGUUGGGCACUCUAAGGUGACUGCCGGUGACAAACCGGAGGAAGGUGGGGAUGACGUCAAAUCAUCAUGCCCCUUAUGACCUGGGCUACACACGUGCUACAAUGGACAGAACAAAGGGCUGCGAGACCGCAAGGUUUAGCGAAUCCCAUAAAUCUGUUCUCAGUUCGGAUCGCAGUCUGCAACUCGACUGCGUGAAGCUGGAAUCGCUAGUAAUCGCGGAUCAGCAUGCCGCGGUGAAUACGUUCCCGGGCCUUGUACACACCGCCCGUCACACCACGAGAGUUUGCAACACCCGAAGUCGGUGAGGUAACCUUUUAUGGGAGCCAGCCGCCGAAGUGGGGCAGAUUGAUUGGGGUGAAGUCGUAACAGGGUAGCCGUAA